CCAUUGGCCACUGGUGCUCAACUUGACCUUCAGCCACUCUCCACUCCCUGGAGGUUGGCCUUUGUCUUUUGGAUCCUGCACCUGGCACCACCCAGAUUGAUAAACUGGAUUAUCUGAUCUUGUGGCCCCUACCCAGAAACUGACUCAGCACCAGAGGACAGCUUCGACUCCCUUUGAUUUCAUCUCUAACCCAACCAAUCAGCACUUUUGACUCACUGGCACCCCACCCACCAAGUCCUCCAUAAUAACUCUGAUCCCUGAAUGCUUGGGGAGACUGAUUUGGGUAAUAAUAAAACUCUGGUUUCCCAUGC
rnacentral:lncRNA from 10 species